rnacentral:ncRNA from 2 species
GUCACCUCUGAAACUCAAGAACACGUUGUCGACCUACAGAUUCUGUAACAAUACGAUGUGUUCUUGAGUUUCGAUGCGACG